GGGCUAUACUUAUGAGUGUCAUACAAUGAUCCAGCGAAACACUAAGCCAUCGCCUUAAGUCGUAGCUGGGGUUGUCAGGAUAACGAGCAGCAGAUGAAUGAUUGCUUGCAGGUGAGUGGGGCAGAGGUGGGAACCCACAAUGAGUUCCACCCAGGCAGAGAGGAGUGGGGGAGUGAGAGAGAAAAAGCAAGACAAAAACUAUAACAAUGUGAUCUCAAAUGAGAUUGCCAGGGAGACAAGGGGAAACAUGACAAUUACAGGUUCUCUGGGUAGGCAGCUUGGAGUGGACAGAGGAAGAGGAUUUUAUAACACAAUGUGACACUGAUUUUAAAGUUUAGGUGUGAAAAAAAGGCGGCGGAUGAAGAUUUCCCACAACACUGAAGGUUUUGAUUGGAGGGCUUGCUGACAUGGAGUGGUGAGCCAUCUUUGCUCUAGAAUGAUCGAAAAAUUGUCUGGAAUCUGCGAAGAGCCUAUAAGGAGACUUGGACUGUCACAACUCUUUGGUCUUUUGGAAAUUGUUUAUUCACUGUAAAUA